rnacentral:lncRNA from 1 species
UUCACUCCUCUCCAACUCCUGCUGGGCGCCGAGGCUCGAGCCAGCACGCUGAAGAAAGACUAGCAGAGCUAAACCUGGGCGGUUCUCUUUCUGGUUUGAGAGCCUUCUCCAGACCAGGGUCGUCUCUUGUUUAUCUUCUCGCGCUUGCUACCAUGGAAGCUGAACUCGGGGCUGAGAACCAGGACCCCUUGUUGCUCUGUGUCUAGCAUCUUUACCAUCACCCUCCCCUCGCAAAGGUGGCUACAACUUCGAGGGAACUCUUUAUAAAGCGUUAGAGAGCCCUCGGGUAGCCAAGCAAGGCUAGGUAGCCUUCAAUCUCUUCGUUGCCUCCCCGGAAGCACAGUCCUGCCUAGCCUGACUCCACCUGGACGCCGGUCCCUUUCCAGUGUCCCGACCCACAGUUGUUCCCUCAGGGAUCCUGCUUCCUCAGUUACUCUUCCAUGCACCCCGCCAGCAGCCAACGUUUGGUUAUUUCCCUCCCUGGCUGAGAAAGAACCUCCGAACAGAUAUCCUUCAAGGCCACCUGAGGAAGGAGAGUAAACUGUUAGAAAAGCAACCCAGCUGCAUCAAUACCUUCCCUGAUUACCCCAGAGCUCAUUCAUCGCUGGAGCGCCAUUGCCGGCUCUCUCCCCAUCUUUCUCCAUUUUUGCUUCCUUCCUUGAGCCAGCUGUGGCCGCCUGUAAUCUGGAAGCCGGAUCCUGCAAUGAGCUGGCUGACUUCUGGGACUACCAGUUCAGCACUGCAGUAAUUGUCCUGCUGAGUAGGCCUGCAGUGGCCACAUUGCAGGUGGGGUUGCUGAAUGACACCUGUUCCUGUGAAUUCUUACCUCCAUCCAACCAGUCCAUCUGUAAAAAUCUCCCUGGAAUCAUUUCUUCCACCCUGUAAUUAUGUAACCUGACACUACAGGUUGUCUAUUUUAGGUUUACUUACCUGGCACAGGAAAUACUUUUUUGUAGUCACAUGCAUAGAGGUAGCUUGAUAUGAUUAAAAAAAAGAGAGAGAGCUCUGGGAUUGAGGCAAAGGCCUCCUCUGACUUUUGGCCAGGCAUUUAUGACUUCUCUGAAUCCCUUACUUCCUCAACAAUAAAAUCAGGUUAAUAUUUGCA